GGUUGCGAUCAUACCAGCAAUAA
rnacentral:rRNA from 1 species